UUUUCGGUGUGUCCUGGUAAUAACUGGU
rnacentral:piRNA from 1 species